rnacentral:rRNA from 1 species
ACGCUCGACACCUACGGGAGGCAGCAGUGGGGAAUAUUGCACAAUGGGGGAAACCCUGAUGCAGCGACGCCGCGUGAGUGAAGAAGUAAUUCGUUAUGUAAAGCUCUAUCAGCAGGGAAGAAAGUGACGGUACCUGAGUAAGAAGCCCCGGCUAACUACGUGCCGGCAGCCGCGGUAAUCUGAGCGGGCUGGCAAGGC